UGGAGAAAUCCACUUUCAUGGAGAAUGAAGUGGUUGUAGCAAAUCAAGGGAAUGGAGCAAAGAGAAAGACCCGGUUCCAACUUAAAUCUGUGGAGAGUUUUUAUUUGGCCACGCUUAUCCUUAGAACAUGUUGUUCCUUAACUGCCUAGCAUUUUGUCCGAUCAAGCAUGGCUAGUCCAUGAAUACUAAAAUGAAGAAAAGGAAGGCUGUAAAUUAGCGGAAAUGUAAUUAGCAGGUAGUUGAUUAUGGAGUCCAUAAGCUUUGGAAAUACAAUAACGUUGGGGACAAUUUUUACAAAGUUGGGCCAAGAAUUCCAACUUAAACCUGACCUACAACCCAUUAAUGAUAGUGUUUGCCUAGCUCCAUAUUUCAAGUUGAAUAACAUAAAUUUCUUGCUAAAUAUUUUCUAUUUGCUCUGUUUUGUAGGGAUUUGUAGAAUAAUUUACUUUUAAAUAUUUCGGGCACUCUUGAUCCUCAUGCAAACGUCACC